GUGGGGAAUCUUGCGCAAUGGGCGAAAGCCUGACGCAGCCAUGCCGCGUGAAUGAUGAAGGUCUUAGGAUUGUAAAAUUCUUUCACCGGGGACGAUAAUGACGGUACCCGGAGAAGAAGCCCCGGCUAACUUCGUGCCAGCAGCCGCGGUAAUACGAAGGGGGCUAGCGUUGCUCGGAAUUACUGGGCGUAAAGGGCGCGUAGGCGGACAGUUUAGUCAGAGGUGAAAGCCCAGGGCUCAACCUUGGAAUUGUCUUUGAUACUGGCUGUCUUGAGUACGGGAGAGGUGAGUGGAACUCCGAGUGUAGAGGUGAAAUUCGUAGAUAUUCGGAAGAACACCAGUGGCGAAGGCGACUCACUGGCCCGUUACUGACGCUGAGGCGCGAAAGCGUGGGGAGCAAACAGGAUUAGAAACCCCUGUAGUCC
rnacentral:rRNA from 1 species